rnacentral:lncRNA from 1 species
CGACCAUCACGAUAACUUGUAAGCAACUCACUGUACUUUAGUAUCGGACCAUCUGAGUUUCUAACUCAGUGACGGAAGACUACUGGAUGCAGUCAAGUACUUAUCAAGUCGGUGUGUGAGUCAAGAUGGAAUUGACCCCUUUGAAUUGGUAGGAGAUAUGCAUCAGUGUAUUUCAAUUCAGUAAAAUCUUGACCAGGAUAAUCCUUGAGA